UACGUAGGGUGCAAGCGUUGUCCGGAAUUAUUGGGCGUAAAGAGCUCGUAGGCGGUCUGUCGCGUCGGCUGUGAAAACUCGGGGCUCAACCCCGAGCCUGCAGUCGAUACGGGCAGACUAGAGUGCGGUAGGGGAGACUGGAAUUCCUGGUGUAGCGGUGAAAUGCGCAGAUAUCAGGAGGAACACUGGUGGCGAAGGCGGGUCUCUGGGCCGUAACUGACGCUGAGGAGCGAAAGCGUGGGGAGCAAACAGG
rnacentral:rRNA from 1 species